rnacentral:lncRNA from 1 species
CCUCUUCUCUAACGGCCAUAUCCAUUGUUUAUCAUUGUGGAAAAGUGCCUAAGAUGGAACAUAUAAAAACUUUGGCCGAGGUGUCACGGACUUAGCUGGUUUUGCCUAAGUCGUGCGGCACCUAUGCAUGUCCGUCCGUAAAGGUCAGCUUUCCCGAAACCUCCCAUGGUCCCUUAGAACCUACAAAAGAGAAAACUGGUUAGAGAAAACACCUCACUCGGGAUCCACAAGCAAACCUUUCAGGAAACACUUCAUAGACAAUGCAAAUUAUAAACAGACUUUACAAGCUCUGAACGGUUGCACAACAAACGGUUAAAAUGGUCCACUACAGAUUGAAUAUCUCUCAUAAGUGUCCACAUGACACAACCUUUAUUUACAAGCCUAAGAAGACCACCAAACCCAAUUAAAAUGGGGCUGUUAAGCCUUUGAUCGUCUCUCUACAUGCUGUGCAAAGCAUGAACAAAUCAAAAGACACGGACAUACAUAAGUAUUACAUUAAACAUCCUGUUUAGAACUUUGUCUGUGACAUUCUCCCCCACUUAUUCCUUCGACGUCCUCGUCGAAGCUUUUGCCAACACUGCAACUCCUCGCCUUUGCUGAGUCUUCAAUCUUUUGCUCCAGCUGCAAUGCGCCUUUUGGCUCUUAGCUGCUCUCCGCUGCUGUUUUUGAGUAGUUGAACUUUUGAUCUGCUAUGCUGCUUCAACUCGCCAAUGACUCUGACUCUAGUGUGGGGUUGGCUGAGUUGUGCUGAUCUCUGUUGGUUCCUGCAGAUCCAUUAGAUGAAGGAAAAGACCAUCCUUACUAUGCGUCAGUCUCUCAAAUGCUUUAUGCUGCUUGAACUGGGUGGAUGCUUGUUGGAGCUUUAACGAGCAUCGCCUCGCAAACUUCUAAAGUUUUGGGUCAUUCCUCCACAAAAUUUGUCCAUCGACUCUUUUUUUACUUAGUUGUCACUUCCAAGUAGAUUCGCAUCACUUCCACUUUCGAUUGGCAUUCUGUUGAGAAAUGAAGCGAAUAAUCUACUCUCAGUAGCACUGAUCACCAUUGGUAAGGAUUUGACAACUAUUGUCAUCUAAUAUCUUCGAAGGAUCUUUGAACUUAUGUAGGGCUCCUCUACUGGAUAGAUAAGAGAAUUGGGGUACUCGAUUUCACCCAUUCUCUUAAGAGUUGAGAAGACAAUUGUUACUUGACUUCGCCUGCCUCCUCAAGGGUUGUAUUCCAUGCAUCGAGCUGGUUACUGACUUUCGCUUGCUCUUCUUUGCUCACACUUCUGAAGCACACGAAGUGUUUGCACUCAUUGCAUUGAGUUAGCUACUGUGAUUCACCUUCUCAAUGCCAUCGAACUUCUAGAACGCAGAAAGUUUUUACCCCAACUUGGAGUAAGUCUCUAAUAGUUUUGGUCGCCUCUGGGAUUGUACCGUCUUCUCCAUCAACCCUGCCGCCUACUCCACUGAGUAGCAAAGGUACAGUAGCACGUACUGCCUGCUUCGUUCCUUAGUCGUGCACUCUUGCAUGACUCGAAGUUCUUCACUUUCAGCUAUUUUGAUGAGAAGCUCACUGACACCGGUCUUACGAAGUUCCUUGGUCUCUACCCUUCAGCCUUGUCUUGGUACUUGGAGUUUGCCUCUGCAUGCUCCACCUUCUCGGCCCCUUUCACGACCAAGCGCUCUCCUUCUAUGAGAGCAAGGGAUCAAUGACAUUUACGGAAGUCUCGCCUCUGCAGUACCAUGGCGUUGCCCAUGGCCCAUGGCCCUUCAUGAUCAGUAGAUAUGUCUCUAUGACACUCCUCCGAGUCCACCUACAUUCUAACUGAUGCUUGAUUUUGGGUAGUUAAGUCCCUCUGGGCUCAUCGUCGCUUCCUCGCCCCUUUCGACCCCCUGCUUCAACACUUCUGUGUUCUCCAAGCAGUUCCCUUUGGUCGAUGGAGAGACAGACUACAACUCCCAUGCAUGGCCUCUGUCAUCAUGUUGUAGGGUUUGCACCGAUUCUGUUCUCCUUAGUUUCCUUAGUAGCAAUGUUUGCUUACUCGACCUUGUCCUUUGACUUGUCAAGCUCCCUUAAGCGAAUAUAGGCUCUGGAGCAGUCCAACUCUCCAACUGCUUUGAUGAUACCUCUGUAUGAUCAAGUCCCUCCCAUGGGACUCACUGGUACUUGCAUUCGAACUUUUCCCUCGGUGGUACACAUCCCCCAUAUACUGAUGACCAAGGCUUUCAUCCGAUGCACGCACGGAAGACCCGCCUCUGUGGUACCAUGGCCUUCACUCGAAUCUAUAGCCCUUCUUGCCGUCGUGUUAUUCACCGAAGUGGAGCUCCCAGUAGCUCCUGAUCAUACCUCCGUAUGAUAUAGUCCCUCACGGGAUUAUGUCGUGUGUAUCGCAUUGCCACGAACUGUUCCACCACGAUCCGCUGCACCUUGUCGCCUCCUGGUGACAUCUCCAUUGCAUUCUGAUCCUUAUGGGAUGAACUCAAAUUGUGAUCCCUCCAUGUGUGGCCUCUACCAAUACAUCGCAAGGUCUCUUCCACCUUCGAUUUUAUUCGCUCCUUUGGUAAUCGACCUUCAUCUACCCGCUCUUGGGUCACACUUAGAUGAAGCACCGCUCUAGGACAGUCCGUCGCCUAGUAGCUCCCGAAGUCCACCAACUUCGCUGAAAAUUGUGCACUAUCGUCUGGAUCCUAGGCCUCUGCCCCCACCAGCAUAAUUUUCGUUGCGCACCGCUUCCUUUAUGGCAACUUUAAUGGCAACACUAUGGCAUAUUCUUCAAGAGCACUCACCUCCGCGUCUUCUUGCCCCGUGCCAAGGCCUUCUGAACCCAACUUCGCCUCUGCAAUUUGAGUCGCCUUAGUUCCUCCAUCAAAUGCUUCUCCGAGAUAAGGUGCAUGUGCCCAGAAGCUCCCUUCGUCUUUGGCACCAUGCAAGAUAAGUCCGCUCUAUCAGAAUGAAGGACCCAUGGAACAAUAUAGUCCUGCUCUUGCCUCUGCAAGAGUUCAUGUCCUUGACCUCUAUCCAAGGAAAGCUCUAUGCCUCUGCUCCAUGUUCCAUCUUCUAUGCCGGCUCACUUCAUGCGGCUUAGGUACUUUGCCAAGUUACACCUAAGUUGCUCCGCUCCUCGUUUUUGCAUUGAGUUGAUGGUGGCCCUCGUGCUCAUCAUUCCACAGGUCAGCCCUCCCUUGAGUCUGAUCUCCAUAUCGACUCAAAGUGUGCCUUCGUUUGUGUUGCUGCUUUGGGUCGCUCCCCCACUUGAUCUCGUAAUGCAUCCACUAAUGCAUUCUCUCAAGCGAAAACAUGCGACGACUCCUCGCCGCUCGCUCGGUCCAUUGAGCUUCAUGGAGUUGUUGUUUUUGAGGUAUUACUCAACAUGUGCGGUCUAUUGCACGUGAUUCUCCCUCUAGAGAGCUGGGACUUAUCCAUCCUGGAUAUCUAUCCCGUUGGAGCAACAUCUCUCUUCGUUUCCUUCUCUCUGAAAGUUUCGUAGACCACCAUCCCCUUGGACUACUUCGAUUUGCUGAACAAACUAUGUAUUGUUCUGCCUCCUGCAAACGCACUUGCUAGAUUGCGACUCCACGUCAAUACAGCCCCCGCUGCACCACUCAAGGCCUAGCAACAUGCUGAACUCGCUGCACACUUCAGCCUCCUACGGACGUAUCCUUUUCAUGUCGAAGAGAAAGUUCCAAUGCUCCAUGGCGCCGAGUUUCGAUCGCCUUGGGAUGGCCGCGAACAUUCCAUCGUCCACAUACAAGCCCUUGCAUGAGUACCGAAUUCUUCGAGUUAGCAAUUCCCCUCACCUCUAUGAGCUUUGCACAACUCUUUCGGUCAUUGUGCAACUCAUUCCACCUUGUAUGGUCUCAUCCUUUACCAAGCGCCUCGCUUGCCUUGAGCACCAUUAAGUGUAGUUGUCAACGUCGAGCCGUAGCUCAAACUCAGCCAUCCCAACCUUUGUGCGCUACGCAUUCUUCCAAGCUUGCUUGUUCUCGUGGUGCCUCUUGCGCGAAGGGUUGGCCAUUCCUCUGAAUGUCAAUCUUAGAUGCUCGCUAUUCCGAGCGACUCCUUUUCCCUAGGACAGUCAACACACACAACCCCGUUAGGUCCCCUGCAUUUGCAUGCCAAGUGUUUUUAUGAGUGCUUGUCCCGCUCUGAUACCAUCUGUCACGGACUUAACUGGUUUUGCCUAAGUCGUGCGGCACCUAUGCGUGUCCGUCCGCAAAGGUCAGCUUCCCCAAAACCUCCCAUGGUUCCUUAGGACCUACAAAAGAGAAAACGUGUUAGAGAAAGCGCCUCACUCGGGAUUCACAAGCAAACAUUUCAGGAAACACUUCAUAGACAAUGCAAAUUACAAACAGACUUUAUAAGUUCUAAACGGUUACACAAUAAAGGGUCAAAAUGGUCCACUACAGACCGAAUAUCUCUCACAAGUGUCCACAUGACACAACCUUUAUUUACAAGCCUAAGAAGGCCACCAAACCCAACUAAAAUGGGGCUGUUAAGCCUUCGAUCGUCCCUUUACAUGCUGUGCAAAGCAUGAACAAACUAAAAGACACGGACAUACAUAAGUAUUACAUUAAACAUCCUGUUUAGAACUUUGUCCGUGAUAGAGGGUCGGUAUGAGCUUCUUAGGAAGAGACAUGGUAGCUCAACUAAGAUUUGGGAGGCAAGCCAUGAAAAGGAGGGGCUUAUGUUAGACAUGUUAACUGGUCAUGUACCUGAAACAAGAAAGAUGUGAUGAAGAACUAAUUGUGCAAACCUUUCUAAAGUAGCCUUUAUCAAGUUAAUUAAAUAUAUAGUUAUCUUUUUAGGCACACACAUUUCCAAUUGUCAAAUUUGUUAAUGUUCUUCUCUUCUAACAUGGCAGAAAAACCAAAUAAUGGAGGAGGUCUUGUUUAUGUUAGGUAUGGAUGGUAAUGUUGAAGGACAAAGUUUGAAAGUUCAUAGAUAUGAAAUAUUAAAAAGGAAUGGAGUGUGUGAAUAAAAGGUACCUUCAAACACUGUAUACUUUGCUGUAUCAAGAUUCAGUAGCAAUGUACUUGGAACUGACCCAUCAAGUGAAAGAGAAAUUUAUC